rnacentral:tRNA from 1 species
GCUCGGAUAGACAAAAUUGGUUAAAGUCACCAUCCUUUCAAGAUGGUAUCUGCGGGUUCGAAUCCCGUUCCGAGUUCCA